rnacentral:rRNA from 1 species
AGUGAACGCUGGCGGUAGGCCUAACACAUGCAAGUCGAACGGCAGCACAGUAAGAGCUUGCUCUUACGGGUGGCGAGUGGCGGACGGGUGAGGAAUACAUCGGAAUCUACUUUUUCGUGGGGGAUAACGUAGGGAAACUUACGCUAAUACCGCAUACGACCUACGGGUGAAAGCAGGGGAUCUUCGGACCUUGCGCGAUUGAAUGAGCCGAUGUCGGAUUAGCUAGUUGGCGGGGUAAAGGCCCACCAAGGCGACGAUACGUAGCUGGUCUGAGAGGAUGAUCAGCCACACUGGAACUGAGACACGGUCCAGACUCCUACGGGAGGCAGCAGUGGGGAAUAUUGGACAAUGGGCGCAAGCCUGAUCCAGCCAUACCGCGUGGGUGAAGAAGGCCUUCGGGUUGUAAAGCCCUUUUGUUGGGAAAGAAAAGCAGCAGGUUAAUACCCCGCUGUUCUGACGGUACCCAAAGAAUAAGCACCGGCUAGCUUCGUG